rnacentral:rRNA from 1 species
UGGAACGAACGCUGGCGGCGUGCUUACACAUGCAAGUCGWACSAUGGAWRACUYAUCGGGGUGGAUUAGUGGCGAACGGGUGAGUAACACGUGGGCAAUCUGCCCUUCACUCUGGGACAAGCCCUGGAAACGGGGUCUAAUACCGGAUAACACUCUGUCCCGCAUGGGACGGGGUUAAAAGCUCCGGCGGUGAAGGAUGAGCCCGCGGCCUAUCAGCUUGUUGGUGGGGUAAUGGCCUACCAAGGCGACGACGGGUAGCCGGCCUGAGAGGGCGACCGGCCACACUGGGACUGAGACACGGCCCAGACUCCUACGGGAGGCAGCAGUGGGGAAUAUUGCACAAUGGGCGAAAGCCUGAUGCAGCGACGCCGCGUGAGGGAUGACGGCCUUCGGGUUGUAAACCUCUUUCAGCAGGGAAGAAGCGAGAGUGACGGUACCUGCAGAAGAAGCGCCGGCUAACUACGUGCCAGCAGCCGCGGUAAUACGUAGGGCGCAAGCGUUGUCCGGAAUUAUUGGGCGUAAAGAGCUCGUAGGCGGCUUGUCACGUCGGAUGUGAAAGCCCGGGGCUUAACCCCGGGUCUGCAUUCGAUACGGGCUAGCUAGAGUGUGGUAGGGGAGAUCGGAAUUCCUGGUGUAGCGGUGAAAUGCGCAGAUAUCAGGAGGAACACCGGUGGCGAAGGCGGAUCUCUGGGCCAUUACUGACGCUGAGGAGCGAAAGCGUGGGGAGCGAACAGGAUUAGAUACCCUGGUAGUCCACGCCGUAACGUUGGGAACUAGGUGUUGGCGACAUUCCACGUCGUCGGUGCCGCAGCUAACGCAUUAAGUUCCCCGCCUGGGGAGUACGGCCGCAAGGCUAAACUCAAGGAAUUGACGGGGCCGCACAAGCAGCGGAGCAUGGUGCUAUUCGACGCACGSGAAGAACCUUACCAGCUGAMWWUACGAAGCCAUCAAGAUGGUGCCCCUUGUGUCGUWUACAGUGGUGCAUGGCUGUCGUCAGCUCGKUCCGUGRAUGUAGGUAGUCCGACGAGCCAACCGUGUMCGGAUGCCAGUCAUGCCCUUCCGGGUA